CACAGAGUAGGCGCUCCAUAAUUAGACUGAGCCCCUUGGUGGGCAGAGUGGUCUCUCUCUGUGUGUCCGAAUGGUAGUUUCGCAGCGCUUAGGCCAGCGCUCCGCACAGAGCAAGCGCUCCCUAACUAGACCGUGAGCCGGUCGUUGGGGAGGGAUCGUCUGGGCGUGUGCGUCCGCACUGGGGUUUCCCAGCGCUUAGGACGGCGCUCCGCAGAGGGUAAGCGCUGGAAAAUCAAGAGAGUGGUUGGGAUCACCAAGAACUAUGGAAACCUAGGGCUGGAAAGCAAUUUAUUUCUUGAAAGGAUUUACUGGACUCCUACUUUGAAGAGGAUGCUGUACUGACCUCGGGGAAAUGGCAAAGAAAGUGGACUAUUUGAUCCCUCUCCUUCGAGGAACUCCCAAAAUCUCCUGCCAUCGAGAUUAGCCACUCGGAAGCAGUGGGAUCCGGAAGGAGAAGACGGAGGCUCCGAAGCGAGAAUGUGGGGUCGAGAGGCCUAGCCGAGAAACACACUGGGCCCUGCUGACUUCCGUUCGAGAUUCCGUGCGAUGUCAUGGUGUUCCUCUGCGUGACCGGGGUGAUGCACGGAUGGCAAAGGACGUUUCAAGGACGGCAAAAGGGUGCCUGGUAUCCACGAGCACUUGCGGCGAUCACCUUAUUGGAAGAAGAAAGGCUCGUAACCACAGACGGAGGGUACACACAUAGAUAAACAGGAAUAAACUACGUAUAUAAUGGAAGCUACUGAAAGCACAGAAAGGAAGAACAAUACAUGGAAAAAAGUUCUUGGAAGGACA